rnacentral:lncRNA from 1 species
GCUUCACCCCCCACCCCCAUUCAAACCUGGAGCCCGAGAGCGCGCUGAGCCGUGGACGCCGGGCGGGCAUGCUGCUGUUUGGGCGGCUCCUAUGUCCUGUGCGGGAACUGGGCUGGGGAAGCCGCUAUGCUGGACGGGGGCGAGGGCGAGCCAGCUCCGGGAUCUGCAGCCUUUAUUCAAGGCCCGCCCGCCCACCGCGGGGACCGUGGGAGAGAGCCUGGAGCUGAGGGAGGAGCGGCUGGGCAGGCUGGGGCGGAGGCCACCCGGGAGAGGCGGGACCUUAACCUCGGGUUUUGACCAAUGGGGUCCUUGGGGAAACUGAGUCUAGAAAAUGUUGGCUACAUGGUUCUUGGGAUGCUGCGCAACAGUGGGACGUCUGCUUCCCCGCCAUCUGUCAGCGGGCUGGGGCUAUCGGGGGUCCCUUCUGCACCACCCAGAAGGAAACGCAGUUCCUUGGUCCCUGCCGGGUCUCCCGGGAGCUGGAGAACAGGGAAGCCCUCCCCGCCCCCAACACCUAGUCGAAGGCGUACCCCAAAGGGAGCAGGGAUUCCGGGGAGGAAGGUGCGGAGGACCCUGGAGUGAAAGCGAUGGCAUACAUUUUCAGGGAGUUCAGACACCCCCAGAGAGGGGAAUCUUGUGUUUCAUCAUCGCUCUGAAUGCUUUGAAUCUAAUCCUCUUGACCCUGUCUCCCCUUCUCCCACUUUCCUAUAAAAGUCAUUUAAGGAAUGUAAUGAACCAGCACUGCCUUGUGUCUGCAUUCUCCAACCUUGCAAGCUUGGCAAGGUGAGGGGCCGCU